UCGCUCCUACCGAUUGAGUGAUCCGGUGAAUAAUUCGGACUGCAGCAAAGUUUAGUUCCUGAGCUCUGCCGCGGGAAGUUUAGUGAACCUUAUCACUUAGAGGAAGGAG
rnacentral:rRNA from 1 species